rnacentral:rRNA from 1 species
GAUGAACGCUCGCUACCGGCUUAACACAUGCAAGUCGAGGGACCGGCGCACGGGUGAGUAACACGUAACCAACCCGACCUUUACUCGGGGAUAGCCUUUAGAAAGAAAGAUUAAUACCCGAUAUAAAGGAUGGGGAUGCGUUCCAUUAGGUUGUUGGUGAGGUAACGGCUCACCAAGCCGUCGAUGGAUAGGGGUUCUGAGAGGAAGGUCCCCCACAUUGGAGAUCAGGCACGGUGCAAACUCAUCCGGGAGGCAGCAGUGUGGAAUAUUGAGCAGAGGGCAGUAACCUGAACCAUCCAAUUGGCGUGAAGGAUGAAGGCUUAUGAGGCGUAAACUUCUUGUAUAUAAGAAUAUGGAUUAUAUGAAUAAGGAUCGGCUAACUCCGUGCCAGCAGCCGCGGUAAUAC